rnacentral:tRNA from 1 species
UGCCCAGAUAGCUCAGAGGUAGAGCACUUGCAUGGUAAGCAAGCGGUCGUAGGUUCGAUUCCUAUUCUGGGCAG